rnacentral:rRNA from 1 species
AUUGAACGCUGGCGGCAUGCUUUACACAUGCAAGUCGGACGGCAGCACAGAGAAGCUUGCUUCUUGGGUGGCGAGUGGCGAACGGGUGAGUAAUAUAUCGGAACGUACCGAGUAAUGGGGGAUAACUAAUCGAAAGAUUAGCUAAUACCGCAUAUUCUCUGAGGAGGAAAGCAGGGGACCUUCGGGCCUUGCGUUAUUCGAGCGGCCGAUAUCUGAUUAGCUAGUUGGUGGGGUAAAGGCCUACCAAGGCGACGAUCAGUAGCGGGUCUGAGAGGAUGAUCCGCCACACUGGGACUGAGACACGGCCCAGACUCCUACGGGAGGCAGCAGUGGGGAAUUUUGGACAAUGGGCGCAAGCCUGAUCCAGCCAUGCCGCGUGUGUGAAGAAGGCCUUCGGGUUGUAAAGGACUUUUGUCAGGGAAGAAAAGGCUGUUGCUAAUAUCGACAGCUGAUGACGGUACCUGAAGAAUAAGCACCGGCUAACUACGUG